rnacentral:miRNA from 1 species
AGUGUUGGAUGGGACCAAAUC